rnacentral:rRNA from 1 species
UACGGGGGGGGUAAGCGUUGUUCGGAAUUACUGGGCGUAAAGGGCGCGUAGGCGGCCGCUCAAGUCGGGGGUGAAAGCCUGUGGCUUAACCACAGAAUUGCCUUCGAUACUGUUUGGCUUGAGACCGGAAGAGGUUAGUGGAACUGCGAGUGUAGAGGUGAAAUUCGUAGAUAUUCGCAAGAACACCAGUGGCGAAGGCGGCUCACUGGCCCGAUACUGACGCUGAGGUGCGAAAGCGUGGGGAGCAAACAGG